rnacentral:lncRNA from 1 species
UCUUUGCUUUUCAGAGCUUAUAAGGAGCAGGCAUCUGAAGCUGCACUCUGAAGCUGUAAGUGGUAACUGACAUUUUAAGUAACAUUUUAAGUAAUAGAAGGUGUUUUUCUGUUUUUCUGCAAAGGGAUUACUCUUUAGGAAGAUGAAAGAGAAACCAUACUUUGCAUGAACAUAGUCCUGCUUCUUUGGCAAAACAAGGCUUUCAUUCUAUGUUCCAGCUAUUCCAGAGAUGUUCCUGAACAAGUUACCUGUUGGUGAAAGCUUCAAAAGGGAUACUUAAGUGACCAAUCCUAUUCAUACUGUGGGCCAGGAGAGGAAAAUCAAUAUCUGUUGGAGAAUCUGAAGAGCCAAAUCUCCUGAGCCUAGGCCUACUGCUGUCAGCAUCUCUGAGACCUCUCUCACCUGAG